GAUUCGAUUGUUUCACAGAAAACAUUGAGGAUUCAAUUGGUUCACAGCCAUCUGCUUCCUCCACGGAUCUUCUUCACAGCACAGCAUCUGCCUUCGUCUCACUCUCACUACUCUUGUAUUUCACUGAUUUGGGGUCUUACGCAAUUACAAAUUUAAGUCCAUUCAUGUGUUGAUCUUGGUUUAUUUCUGUCACUCUCUAUCUGACUUGAAGAUAAAAACCCUAAUUUUAGAUUGUUCUCUGAAUCCAGAUUCAUUUCAUUCACGACAAUUCUUAACAAAUUUCCCCAAUAUUACAUUUUCCCUUAUUAUUUUCAUACGUUUUAAGGUUCUAAUCAGUCUUUUUCGACCUUUAUCACUCCCUAUACAAUUGUGAAUAAGUAAGUUCCAUGUCUGCAAAACUCUAAUUACUCUGAUCUAAUUAUUUCAGGAACCUAGAGGUUAUUAAAUUCGUUAGAGAGGUGAUUUUGGAUUGAAUCCCAAAGUUCCCUUCCUAUUUCUAGGGUUGAUGUUUUGUGCACAUUUUGGGUGGUGGGUGUUGUGAAUCAUCACAUUUUAUUGAAGGUAUUUGAUCUGGGUAAUUCUAAAUCUAUGAACUGUUUUCUGAGUUUCCAAAACAGUUAAGCAGUUUUGAGGAAGCCCUUUGAUUUAUGAACUUUGAAGGAGUUGUAUACAUGCCAUGUUUGGUAGUGCAAAAGUGGUCUUGAUUCGUCUGCAGCUUACUACAGUUGUGGAAGUUGUGGUUUUGGGAUAGUAUAGGUUGAGUUCAAACAUCCUUGAGAAAUAAGGGUUGGCACAGAUGGGUAGGCCAUUGAUUUUUGAGAUCUUGAACAAACCAGCAAUAAGUUGUUUCAUAGGAAUAUGCAGUGCAAUUUGGUUCUACAUACAGAAGAAAAACAUUGGCUAUUCACAUGUGGGCUUGAGUUAUGAAACUGAGGUUGCAGGGCACCAUUGGAGGAUUAUAACUUCAGCUUUCUCUCAUAUAGCAUGAAGGCCGUGUCGAAGCUGGUAAAAACGAUUCCUAAGUGCAUCAGGUUCUUGACUAUUUUCAGGGUAUGUGGCUGUGAGCCCACAUCAGAGGCCGAUUUGACAUUCCGUUGUUUGUGAGGUUGCCAUGAAGAAGCCUGACUCUGCCGUGAAGAGAGAUCGGAAGGCCGAAAAGAGGAGGAUUUACAACAAAUCCCAGAAAUCUGAAAUCAAAACCCGGAUGAAGAAGGUACUUCCUUUUUCGGCAAGUUCAUUUGAUUUUAGCUGAGGGUUUUGCUUCUUUUGGCUUGCAUUGUAUAUAAAAUAAGUUUAUUCUGACUGUUGUCUUAGGUAAGGGGCAUAAUAGUCUUGAGUAGAUUGCUGAAAAGUAACCUACUGCUAGCUUUCCUUUUUGUAAAUUAGUUUGUGAGGCUAUCAGUUAAAACUCAUUUCAAAAAAGAGAGAUUUUCUGCUUUACAUAUUUUCUUUGAAUAUGCAUGUUGGAUAUGGUGUGCAUUGUCCUACUGUAUAUUGGUGUAGGUCGUGAUGUCAUUCCACUAGUGUGGAGGCAAUGUCGGGGAUGAUGUACAUAUCCCACUUCCUCACUGGGUGACAGAAAUUGGCCAAAAGAAUCCUGAUAUAUAUUUUACUAAUAAAGAAGGGAAACGCAACACUGAAUGUCUCACGUGGGGAAUUGAUAAAGGGCGGGUUUUAAGAGGCCGCACUGCUGUUGAGAGUAAGAACAGUGGUUUAGCAACCUGGGAACCAGCAGGAGCAGCAGAAUGGUUAGAAGUAAGAAUUUUAAAGAAUUGAAGUCAUGUUGUUGAACUUAGUCUGAUGCGUAUGAAACUAAAGUUUUUGAAGGCGUUAUUAAUUAGUAUACCUACUGGAUAUUCUCUUUUCUUUUUUCUCAUGUUGAAUCCCACAGAAUUCUUCGCUGACAUUGUGGUUGAGCAUGAAUAUGUUGAAUGUACUUCAUCUGCAAUUCAGGCUAUAGUUUUGUUUAAGAAGUUGUGACCUGGCCCCAGGAAGAAAGAGAUUGAUCAAUUUAUUACCAAUGCUGCACAGUACCUGGAAAAUACACAAAUGGCAGAUGGUUCAUGGUACGGGAAUUGGGGAGUUUGCUACACAUAUGGUACCUGGUUUGCUCUUGGGGGGCUAACCGCUGCUGGCAAGACUUUCAGCAAUUGUGCAGCCAUGAGCAAAGCCAUUAGUUUUUUGCUCGCAAUCCAGAAAGAGAACGGUGGUUGGGGAGAGAGCUACCUUUCAUGUCCAAAAAGGAGUACGUUCCUCUUGAAAGAAACCGAUCAAAUUUAGUACACACAGCUUGGGCUAUUAUGGGUUUAAUUCAUGCAGGACAGGCAGAAAGAGACCCUACACGUCUUCAUCGUGCAGCAAAGUUGAUAAUCAAUUCACAGAUGGAAAAUGGUGAUUUUCCUCAGCAGGUAUCAGCAGGAAUUGGCAGGCCUACCUGGAAUAUUGGAUGUUACAUCACAUCUCAAUAUAUAAGUGGUUGGAGUCCAUGAACGAUCUUGCUGCUGAGCCAAUGGAGCCGGAUACACUUGCCGAUAUAGCUAAUGGACUUCGACAGAUCGAGAGCAGUUGCGAGGUUGAUAUGCGGCUUGAGGAACAUGUCAAUUAUCUGGUAGAUGAAGAGUAUCACACUCCAGCCUCACAAUUCGUGUUGAAUUUGACAAGUGCUGCUCAACUCUUUGCAAGAGCAGCUUCCGAGGAUGGGAGAAGAAUUCAAUUGGCUUAUGCUACAGAUAUGGUGGCCGCUUUGUUCCAUCUCUUUUAUUUCAUGGCUCGACAACUACAGCUUAUUCCAAACUGUGCAACAAUUAAUUGGGUUAAUUUUCAUUGUUCUCAUCAGUUUAAGGAGAUGGUUGGAGCAACUGAAAGUCUUUUGGACAGAUGCUUUGAACCCCUCAUAUUUUGGGACAUGGAUGAUUCUAUAUUUGAAGCGAUUGGGGAUUGUUAUAGGACAAGUCUGGAGAAUGCCAAUAAGUUUCUAGAUUGUUGCAUAGGUGAUCAAUGGUGCGCUAUUAUACAUCCAUUUGCUAUCCCUCCACUGCGUUCUGAACCUUUAAGACCUGCUAUAUCAAUAUUAUGUCAAGCAUCUACGGCCAUAACCUUUUCCAGGGGCUGCAAGCCAUCAUUCAGUCUUGGUCUUCUUGUUGAUGCUGAAAAAGAGUAUGAUCCGGCACCCUAUAACUACACCCUGUCCUGGCGCCCUAUAACUACACAACUGUGAAAGAAGCAUUUAUGACCCUUUCACUUCUAAGGGACCACUUGCACAAACAGGUUGAAGAGUCAAAAAGGUUGGCCGGUGUUAGUGGCUAUCAAAUGCUAGAGAAUUUUGAGGAAGAGGUUGAGGGAAAGCUGUUUGUGAAAUCGGAGUUUGAGUCUUUGGUCUGGGAAUUGGGGUUGGAGGAAAAAAUGGGCGCAUGCUUUGAUUAAUGUCUCAUCCUGUUUUUAUUCCUUCGACUAUUCUGAACAAUUCCUCAGUUUCAUUUUUCAAGGUCAGUAUGCUUUGCAUAGUCCUUUAUGAUCAUGUGUGCUUCGGUUUUCCUCAUAUAUUUUUUUAAUUAGUGCCUGUGGUGCAAAUGUGACAUCGAAAAUAUGGGCAAGUCAUGAUUUUUGAGAAAGACAUUUCAACUGGUGAGGUCAUAGAUCUGAUGAAGUAUCCUAUAGUACUGGAAAAACUAAGCUAGCCAACUCCCAACAUGACAAUUUGCAUUGGAAAUUGUGUCGACGACCUUCUUGGGCUUUUAAGUGCCGAGGUUGGUAUCGUAGUCAAUGUUUCUCCUGAUCUUGUUAAUGUGGGGAGACAAUAUGGGGUUACCCUUCGUCCAAUAUUUGAGAUGUUGGUGCAAAGGUAAUUGGGACGUGUACGUAGACAAGAAGUAGGGGGAACAUGAGGGGUUUUGUAUGCAGUGAGUUGUUGGAAUGAUGUUGUGUGUUUCAUUCGGUUGUUGUUGGGCAUAAAGUAAGAGGUAAUGCAAGCAUAAUCUAUAUGUUUAUAUUGAGGUUUGCUUCUAUUUUUGUGGUUUUUGUCCAACAUGGUUCACCUUGAUGGUUUAUCACAAGAAGUUGUCAUUUUGAUCUGCCUGUGUCUGUUUCUUUUUCUCUUGCAAAUUUUCUUAUUAUAUUUUUUUCGGGAUGUUGCUUACUGAUGCAAUAUGAUUCUUCUGAUAAAUCUUUGUAGAAUGAAAUGAAAAGAUUGGGACGGGAGGAUCCACGUAUGUGUAAGGAGGUAAGUAUGGCGAGAGCUUUCAUUUUGUGAGAUUAAAUAUUUGAACCAAUUUGCCGGUUGACUUGGUGACUAGGUUUAUAUUUAAGUUGGGUUUUGUUUCUUGUCCAGAUAUCAAGAAUUAGUUUUUCAUUUUGGUUGAUCCCCGUCAAUAUCUUUUUCUAUUUUUUUCAUUAUAAAUGGAUCAUCAUCUUCCUACACCCAGUAGAUUUGAUCGUAACUCAUUCGUGUUUUGAGGCAUCAAAAGUUCAUAUUGCAGUGGUGAGCUGAACUGUUCUGGUGCAUAUGUCUGUUUUGUCUUGUAAUAAUAAUGUCGAACAUGCUCUACGCUUUUGUAUGUAGUACUAUGUAGUGUUGGAAAUUAUAUGUUAUAAUUAAUAUUAUAAUAUUUAAUUUUUAUAUGAUGAAAAAUAAAAGUCAUGUCAUAGUUGAAUUCAAAUUCAUGAGUUACACAUACAAUAUAUUUUUAACUACAAUAGUAAUAAAAUAAUUUCACAUACAUUCCCUCUAGUUAAAAUAAUUUCAUGAGUUAAAAGUAUAUGGGCUGAGUGCCUGCACAAGCGCAGAGCAUGUUCGACAUUACAAGGAAAGAUUAUUACAAGACAAAACAGACAUGCACCAUAACAGUUUUAGCUUACCACUGCAAUAUGAACAUUUGAUGCCUCAAAACACGCAUAAGUUACGAUCAAAUCUACUGGGUGUAGGAAGAAGAUGAGCUAUUUAUAAUGAAAAAAAGAAAAAGAUAUUGAAGGGUAUAAACCAAAACGAAAAACAAAUUCUAGAUAUCUGGACAGGAAACAAAACCUAACUUAACUAUAAACCAAGUCAACCUGGCAGAUUGGUUGAAAUAUUCAAUCUCACAAAAUUAAAGUUGUCACCAUUCUUACCUCCUUACACAUACGUGGAUUCUCCCAUUCCAAUUUUUCAUAUCAUUAUACAAAAAUUUAUCAAAAGAAUCUUAUUGCAUCAGUAAGCAACAUCCCAGAAAAAUAUAAUACGAAAAUUUGCAAGGCAAGAGAAACAGACAAAGACAUAUCCAAAUCACAACUUCUUGCGGGAAAACAUCAAGGUGAACCAUGUUGGACAAAAACCACAAAAAUAGAAGCAAACCUCAAUAUAAACAUAUAGAUUAUGCUUGCAUUACCCCAACAACAACCGAAUGAAACACACAACAUCAUUUCAACAACUCGCUGCAUACAAAACCCCUCAUGUUCCCCCUACUUGUUGUCUACGUACAUGUCCCAAUUGCCUUUGCACCAACAUCUCAAAUAUUGGACGAAAGGUAGCCCCAUAUUGUCUCCCCACAUUAACAAGAUCAGGAGAAACAUCGACUACGAUACCAACCUCGGCACUUAAAAAACCAACAAGGUCGUCGACACAAUUUCCAAUGCAAAUUGUCAUGUUGGCUAGCUUAGUUAGUUUUUCUAGUACUAUAGGAUACUUCCAUCAGAUCUGUGACCUCACCAGUUGAAAUGUCUUUCUCAAAAAUCAUGACUUGCCCAUAUUUUCGAUGUCACAUUUGCACCACAGGCACUAAUUAAAAAACAAUGAGGAAAAACAAAGCACACAUAAUCACAAAGGACUAUGCAAAGCAUACUGACCUUGAAAAAUGAAACUCUGUAAUUAUUCAGAAUAAACGCAGGAUGAGACAUUAAUCAAAGCGCCCAUUUUUUCCUCCAAACCCAAUUCCCAGACUCAAACUCCGAUUUCACAAACAGCUUUCCCUCAACUUCUUCCUCAAAAUUCUCUAGCAUCUGAUAGCCACCAACACCGUCCAUCCUCCUGCUAAAUUCAAAGUAGAAGAUUGAUGAAGAAAACGGUCAAAAUCAAGUGCUGAACCAGCCAACCAGCAUUCUUUUUUAAAAUACAAUUGCUGAGCAGUGAGGAUUGUUUUGUCUCAAACCAA